UUGUUUUAGUCGGGGUGCUGCUGAAAUAGCGGCUGAGAUAAUACCCGUGAACCUGUUGCAGAUAAUACUGGCGUAGGAAACUAGGGCGAUUUGGUG
rnacentral:ncRNA from 2 species